UCUGAAUACUAUGCUGAACGGUACUUUUUGCCAAAUGCCCUGCCCAGGAUGGUAACUUGAAACCAACUUUCCUACAACCUCCCUCUAGGACUCUCCAGCUCCAGCUUUCCUUUUCUGACUCACACGUUCUAACCAUCUAAGUGUCUCCUCCUAAUCAUGAUACCCUCCUCUGCAAAAUCCUGCCUGACCGUCAGAUGUCCAAUUUGAGCUAUCUGGAAGGGAGGAGAUUAUGACUGAGAAAAAUGGCCUGAGAAGAAUAAUUGAGAACAUCACACCUCUAUCCCAAAAGAUGGGGAGCCAAGAGAACAAGUACAUAGAUGUGUUCAGAGCAAAGCCGACAGCAGAGGAGUAUUCGCCUGGGCUCCAUUGGGGAGGCCAGGAAACACCCACAUUCACAUGGACUCAUCUGGAAACCCAACCCAGCCAGGGCUGGGGCUGUGAGUGUCCCGCAAAGCCAGCAGAACUAUAGGGUCCUCAGAGAAGAAGCAAGAAGCCACUAUGAAGGGGGAUUUGUGACCAAAGGCAAGGACUGGAGUCGUAGUCUUGACCAGUAUAUGGUCCAAAAUGUCAAGAAUGGACAUCUUUAAUGGGAAAGAACUUUAUUUUUUAGAAGGCCAAUUGAAUGCUCUUCUCUUCUACCUCCAAAUGACUGGUCACACAGAGGAUUUGUCAUGAGCCAUCAGUAUUUUAUCUAAGGUGUGGAUCUUGCGCCUUUGUACCUGGCUCUCUGAGAUCAGUACCCCAUUCAUUCCUCAUUAGUUCUGGACACAAUGCUAGAACUAUCUAUGUUUUGUUCAAGGAAGAGUGGACUAUUGACUUUACUCAGUCUUUGUUCUGAUAUUUAACACCCAACACUUUUAUGGUUGGAAAGACUUCUGGUAUAAUGUUUAAAGCUCCCCUGUGUGAAUAUUUACUAAAAAACUCUGGGGAUGCUCUGGUAAGAUUCAGGUUAGUUGUCAGUUUGAUGGUGUUUUCAUAUCCAUAGGCUGUUCAGAGACUUUAAAAAUGCAUGUGACCCCAGCUCAUCACUCCUACCUGGUACAGGGGCUUUGCUCUCUGCACAUGGUUCCUUGGAUCUCACAAUACCCACCUUCUAAAGGAAGCCACACAAGCAAGUUAACGGAAUGGCAUCCUUAGCAGAACAGAGCAGAGCAAAGCAAUGGCUCCCAUUGAACAUCUCUCAGCAUAUUAAUUUGAGGCUUUGAUGCUCAUGGCCCUGGGAAGGGCUCAAGCUCAUUCUCACCGUGAGUGUGGUAUUCCACGGGCUCUUCAUGAAUGGAAGGAUAAAGGUAUGAAUGGUUACAACAUGUAUAAUAAGAGACGAUCGAUGAAGGUUUACAUUAAAACAGUUAAUUUAAAAUA